AUGAACGCUGGCGGCGUGCCUAAUACAUGCCCGUAGAACGCUGAAGGAGGAGCUUGCUCUUCUGGAUGAGUUGCGAACGGGUGAGUAACGCGUAGGUAACCUGCCUGGUAGCGGGGGAUAACUAUUGGAAACGAUAGCUAAUACCGCAUGACAACAGUUAUUGCAUGAUAACUGUUUAAAAGGGGCAACUGCUCCACUACCAGAUGGACCUGCGUUGUAUUAGCUAGUUGGUGAGGUAACGGCUCACCAAGGCGACGAUACAUAGCCGACCUGAGAGGGUGAUCGGCCACACUGGGACUGAGACACGGCCCAGACUCCUACGGGAGGCAGCAGUAGGGAAUCUUCGGCAAUGGACGGAAGUCUGACCGAGCAACGCCGCGUGAGUGAAGAAGGUUUUCGGAUCGUAAAGCUCUGUUGUAAGAGAAGAACGAGUGUGAGAGUGGAAAGUUCACACUGUGACGGUAUCUUACCAGAAAGGGACGGCUAACUACGUG
rnacentral:rRNA from 1 species